CAGACCUCUGUCAGAUGCCUUGGCCCCGAGUGAUUUUUCAACGUGCUAUGUUAACAGGAGUAAUGUGAAGAAAAUACCCUGAGUGAAAGAAUAGGACAGCUAAAGCUAAAGUUCCAUCAGGAAGGAGAUGCUUUAGAAAUGUGGGAGACAGCUAGACAAGGUUUAAAUGAUCUGCUUUGUAAGAGCGAGUAACAGUUGCCAGCAGCAAGGGGGAUACUAAGAAGAGCGCUGUUUUGACCUGCUUGCUUUGAAAUACUAUAUGGUUUUAAUAGUUUUCAGUUAGUGCAGACAGCAAAGCCUAGCUAUGAAGAGGCAAUAUAGAACUGCAGAGAGAAUGUGCCAUGUGCAGAAUAAACCCUGACAACAUAUUUUUUUUUAGCGAGGACUAAGAAAAGGGUAACAGUGGAAUAUACACAACUGCAAUUUUCUGAGGCUGGUGAUAUGGCUUUAAAGUUCUGGUGGCUGGGUUUCUUGUGAGGGAUUUGGUUGUGACUGGGGUUCAGGAAGAAAACCCAGGGUGAGCUAGAACAGUGUGCUGAAGUGACCAGGAACAAGCCCUGACUCAUAAAACUGACAGAAGUUGUUACCUACAGUGGGAUUUAUCUCCACUAGUCAUAGUUAUCAAAAAGUUAGAUGCCUGGUCUACACUAAUCUCUCAGGCUCCUGAACAAAAGGCACAAAAGGCAGCUCCAGAGGUUAAUGAAUCCCAGCUAUUUGGAAGACAGCUUAAAUCAGAAGGAUCUGCCCUCCCAAAGGAGCAAAAAACAAAUACCAUGAAUGAUACCUCCUUACUUUUUCCACAGCUGCAGCAAUGUGAAAAGAAUCCCUCUUAUGACCCAGGCUGAUGCUCAUGAGAAAAACACAAUGCUCUCACACAACAGACAUGCUGGAACUGUCAAAAUGCCCUGCUAUGUAUGUGUGGCUGGGGGAGGAGGGAAACAAAACUGCUUGUGUUUUCUAAAAUACAAUAACACCAACCUUGGUGGAAGGUGGAGACAGACAAGGAUGUCCCAGAAAGCUUUUCAUAUGGAAGAAGGUAUACACCUCGUCUCACUCCAUCUCUCAAACUACCACCUGGACAACCAUGUAAUCUUCACCAUGACACAGCAGUAUGGUUCUAUUUCUCUGGGUUUUUUCCUCACCCAGUAGCUCAAAGUUGCCAUUGUAGUCAUAGAUUCACCUGACUCUGUGGUUUCAAGGAUGGUGGUGUGUGUCAGUGGACUCUAUAGCCUGCCAGUUUUCUAAGAAUUGUAUCAUCAUAUGCUGUGUGGACCUGUUCUCUCCGUCUCAGAGAAUCAAUUAGCAAUGACUUUAGCACCAUGUGGAUAUGCAGUCAUCUCCUGUGAUGCCACCAUCCUUCAGUGAACUUGAAAUGUGGCCUUACCAAUAGUAUAACUUUGCUAAAACUUAAAAAAGUUUGGACAAUGAUUGAAAUAUUUCAUGCCCUGGUCAAGACAGCUGAAAGACUGAGGACUGCUGGAUGAGAGAGUAAUCCUCUGGUAAUCAGAACAUGGAUGUGAAAAGUUCAGCCAUCUUUCUGUGUUUCAGGUUCCUGAUAAUAUACCAGUUCUCUAAAGGCAAGAGGCUCAACAGGCAAAUUGACAUGGAUUUUACUGAAAUCAGCUAUCUAAGUUAUACCAGAUGAGACUUUGCUUGGAGAAAUCAAAAGCAAGCCUCUCUGGAAAGUAAUGACUGAGGUGGAGAGGAUUGCAAGACCCAACAAAUAAACUGGUGAUUCCUUGACUUCAUUGCUUCUUCCAUAAUGAACAGUAUUCUUCUCCUGGGUAGGUGGAAAGGUGUGCAUCAGCACUGCUGCCUGGCCAGAGCUUGUUGGGAAAUGUAGUUUGGCUGAGGGGCAAAGUCCCCAACAAAGAACAGGAAGAGGAUGGACUUGAGACCUCUGGAGUCAAGCUGUGAUGCCCCUUCAGAACUGAAGUAUUUUAACUAGUUUCUUGGUUUGCCUGCUCAGGUUUUCAAUGAAAACUUGAAAUGUUCUGUGGAAAGCAGAACCAUUUCAGGAAUAAUUCACUGCCACUGAAAGAUCCAUUCUCUACUGCAAACAGUUUGAUGUAGAACUUUUCUGUUGGUUCCAAUUAGGACAAAAGUAGAGUGCUCUCUGUGCUAUCCUGGGGGCUCAAAAGGCAACCUAGCUGUUGUCCUGUAUCUUUGGUAGCAAUACAUGUUUGAUCAGCUUGUGUACUCAAGAUACAGGCUUGAUAAAAGGGAAACAAGGCCUAGUUUGCUGAAAGUCCCCUUGAAUUCUCCUCAGAAAUUAUAUGACUUGCCAUUCUUUAGGCCAGCGAUAAAGCUUUUUCUUCAUACCCAUUUCUUCCUUGCAUGUUUAUGUUGAGCAAACCCUUAUGUUAGUUCACUCAUUUGACUGAAGGUUUUCCAAUUCUGGCAUUGCACUAGGCACAUCACCUGCUUAAGUGAUAUUUUUCACAGAGAUAGAAUCAUAGAAUGGUUGGGAUUGGAAAGGACCUUAACGGAUUAAAGUAUCCAAAUACCUUUAAGUUGGUGUGUCUCUAAACAAAACGCUGUAAUAAUUAAUGGGGAGAUAUACUGUAAAAAUAAUUAUCCCAGUUUUGGUGUAAGAGAGAAUAUUGAGACUACCAGUUGCUGCAUGAAGAGCUUCAGUUGACAGGUCACCACAAGCGACCAUAGCUGGUUUGGGAAGCUCUGAGUGUGUAUUAAUCUCUGUUUCAGCAGAAUAUGUGCCUUUCAGUCCUCAAGACUUUCUGAGUCAGCAGGUGCCUUAUCCAUGCUUGUCUUCCCAGUUUUCUGCCUGAUUCCUGGUAUACGGGCAACAUUUGGUGGCACAUAAGCCUUGUGGCUGCUUUCAUCAUUUUGUCAAAGGGAGAGAAAUAAUGAAAGAGCUGCUGCAAGAAAACAAACGGCCAAAUAGCUGUUGAGGAAGGAGGUUCCAACUCGCUGGAGUUCAGCUUAUUACAGGCCAUAUGCCUGAGUGGCUCCCCUCACCAAGUGCUGCACCCAGCUAUGGAAACAAGUGUGAAAACGCCUGUGGUUCAUCAGGCCUGAUUUGCUAUAAAUAUGUGCAACUGCUGGGAGAACAAUAAGAAGCUGAAGUGGCUGUGGGGUUAACAGGAGAGAAUCCAUUAGAAAUACAACGUUAAUAAACACAUUUCCCAAAUAUUUAUGUAAAGAUGUUAACAGGCAAUAAUAAUUUGUUUUCCAAGCUCACAGCAGAUGUUUUUCUUUUAGUACGCAGGCUAUAUUCAUAAAUGAUGCAGCUUACUUAAGUAGAGAAACAAAUUGAUACACUCUUCUUCUUUAUUUUUAAAUAUCAUGGGGUUGAAUUAAUAGUUAGCCUUGACAGAUAUCAGUAGCUCAUGCCAUUUCCAGCUAUACCCAAUGUUUGCAGGGUUUGCAGUGUAAAUGAGGGACUAAACACAUGACUCAGCUCCUGAAUGAUGGAUGUGUUAAAGAGACUGAAUGACAGAGCUGGCAGAAUAAGGAGAACAGCAAGUGUGGAAGAAAUCUGUUUCUAACCUGGCAUUUCAAUUAUCUUUACUUGGCAGAGCUCCUCCUAAGAGCACUGAAGGCUCAGGCCCCAGCCAACCAUUCCAUUUGGAUGUUACGAAAUCUUAAUUAUCUAUCAAAGGCAAGUGACCAUCAGCACCAAGAGCUUGUUCUACAGCUGCCAUAUUCCCCAUCCUCUAUACAGAACACUUUUUUUCUCAUAGUGCUUAGCUGCUGAAUGACUUAUUCUGGAAGACAUCUUCCUAGUAACAUGGCUUUGCUAAUUCAGAAAAAGUAUUCUAAUCCAAUCCAAUAAGACAUGUACAUUUAGUUAUUCUGGAGGAGCUCUGUUUCAUUUAAUUUAUACUCCCCCUCUAUGUGAGAGACUCCUGCCCUACCUUUGAAACCUUUAACAUUUAUUUUCUUUUUUGGUGUCCUUUGCGUCCCCUUUUAUACUGCCCGCUUGUAAGCUUUUUUACUUGUGUGUGUCUUGCUUAACUUUCCCAGCAGCAUAUCAAGUAAGAUGCACUUUAUAAUUGAAAUGAGCUGUGAUGACAGCUCUGGUCUGUCUCUGUUUUGAUUUGAAAUGCUGUUACGUGAAAUGCUAGGAAGGUGUCUAGACAUGGUGCAGGGUAGGCACCACAUGCACACUGUUAGCAGACAAUAACUAAUUCUUCAGUGCCAGUUGCUUUCCUCCUCCAUGUUAGUUCAGAGGCAAAAAGGGUUGUGUGCCAAUCUUUCCACCUGCACAGGAUGGCUUUAUCCAUCUUUUUUUUUAACAAUAAGCAAAACUAAACAUAGGAAGUCUGUUUCUUAGAAAUUGAAAAGUCAUCUUACCAGUUUCAUUAAAAUGUGCCAUUUUUUGCCUCUGUGUCACAUAAGGGUCCAUUAAUUAUCCUGCUGUCUCUGAACAUGGCUCCAAAGAACAGGGUGACCACCUUUUUCAAUAAAAUUGCAGAUUUACAAUUUUCCAGCUCAGUGAAUUUCUAGUAUUUAAAUAUAUUGAAAGGCCAAUGCCAGGCUUCUCUGCCUUCCUGUGCAUUUUGCUGGGAAGGGGGUGCUAGAAGGGUGCAUGAGCAGAGAAUGAAAAGGGGUAGAGGAGAAAAAACUGGGCAGACAGAUAUGAUGGCAUGAAAAUCUUGCAAAAUAGAAGGGAUUAGAGUGCCUGGAGAGACCUGAAGUUCAGAGGGGGCUCUUGGUGCCUCCUCAACCCUCUCCUUGCUCCCAAGCAGGAGAGAUGAACAUUACUAGGAUACCAGACAGGGCAAAGCUGAUCUCUUCUGAGAAAUGGUCCAUCACUGUGACUGUAAGAUGAGGUCCAAUCUGGUCUAAUUGCCUUCUGCCUCUUUGCGAGUUAACUUGCUGAGGGGAUAGCAGGAGAGCAAGACACAAACUCUGCACUCAAAUCCAGGUAGGUUUGACACAGCCAUUCAGAAGUGUGGGAUGAUUCAUUCUUCCUGUCUGCUUUUCUGGGUUGGGAAGGGGAAAGAUGAGCCUACGCAGGAUUUUCCUGCUGUUGUCUGCAAUUGAAAAUUUGUUUUCUCCAUCUGCAAAACUGAACGUUCUUCUGGCAACAGAGAACUCAGGAAGAAGAAAAGUGGGGAAUAAAGUAAAGUGACUGAAGAAAGAAAAUUAAUUGUGAACUAAAUAAAAAAUAUCAGGAGGAAGAAGGAUGGGGGCUAAUGACAAAAGCAGAGCUGGGGUCUGCAUUUUUUGCCUGUAGAUUGUGAUCCUGGCAUAUAACUAAACAACCUCUUGUGGCUGCCUUGCUUGAGUAUGACAGCCUUUCUUACAGACACAAAAUAAUCAAACAUCCAA